rnacentral:rRNA from 1 species
UACGAAGGGUGCGAGCGUUAAUCGGAAUUACUGGGCGUAAAGGGCUCGUAGGCGGCCAACUAAGUCAUACGUGAAAUCCCUCGGCUUAACCGGGGAACUGCGUCUGAUACUGGAUGGCUUGAGUUCGGUAGGGGAGACUGGAAUUCCUGGUGUAGCGGUGAAAUGCGCAGAUAUCAGGAGGAACACCGGUGGCGAAGGCGGCUCGCUGGGCCAUUCCUGACGCUGAGACGCGAAAGCUAGGGGAGCGAACAGG